rnacentral:rRNA from 1 species
CCUACGGGUGGCAGCAGUAGGGAAUCUUCGGCAAUGGGCGAAAGUCUGACCGAGCAACGCCGCGUGAGUGAAGAAGGCUUUCGGGUUGUAAAAUUCUGUUAUAAGGGAAGAAAGGUGAUAGGAGGAAAUGACUAUCAAUUGACGGUACCUUAUGAGAAAGCCACGGCUAACUACGUGCCAGCAGCCGCGGUAAUACGGAGGAUCCGAGCGUUAUCCGGAUUUAUUGGGGUUAAAGGGAGCGUAGAUGGGUUGUUAAGGUAGGUGUGAAAGGUUGGGGGUCAACCGUAAAAUUGCAAUUGAUACUGUCAGUCUUGAGUACAGGUGAGGUAGGCGGAAUUCGUGGUGUAGCGGUGAAAUGCUUAGAUAUAACGAAGAACACCGAUUGCGAAGGCAGCUUACUAACCUGUCACUGACGUUGAUGCUCGAAAGCGUGGGGAGCAAACAGGAUUAGAUACCCCAGUAGUC